rnacentral:rRNA from 1 species
UCCAGACUCCUACGGGAGGCAGCAGUGGGGGAUAUUGCACAAUGGGGGAAACCCUGAUGCAGCGACGCCGCGUGUGGGAAGACGGUCCUCUGGAUUGUAAACCACUGUCCCCAGGGACGAAGAUGACGGUACCUGGGGAGGAAGCUCCGGCUAACUACGUGCCAGCAGCCGCGGUAAUACGUAGGGAGCGAGCGUUGUCCGGAAUUACUGGGUGUAAAGGGAGCGUAGGCGGGCUUGUAAGUUGAAUGUCUAAUCCACCGGCUCAACCGGUGAUCGCGUUCAAAACUGCAGGUCUUGAGUGAAGUAGAGGCAGGCGGAAUUCCUAGUGUAGCGGUGAAAUGCGUAGAUAUUAGGAGGAACACCAGUGGCGAAGGCGGCCUGCUGGGCUUUAACUGACGCUGAGGCUCGAAAGCGUGGGGAGCAAACAGGAUUAGAUACCCCCGUA